GUGAGGAAUAUUGGACAAUGGAUGGAAAUCUGAUCCAGCCAUGCCGCGUGCAGGAAGACGGCCCUAUGGGUUGUAAACUGCUUUUAUACGGGAGCAAUAAGGUCUAUGCAUAGAUUGAUGAGAGUACCGUAUGAAUAAGCAUCGGCUAACUCCGUGCCAGCAGCCGCGGUAAUACGGAGGAUGCGAGCGUUAUCCGGAUUUAUUGUGUUUAAAGGGUGCGUAGGCGGCUUUGUAAGUCAGCGGUGAAAUUUUGCAGCUUAACUGUAAAAGCGCCGUUGUUACUGUGAAGCUAGGAUAUGGUGGCUGUGGGCGGAAUGUGUGGUGUAGCGGUGAAAUGCAUAGAGAUCACACAGAAUAUCGAUUGCGAAGGCAGCUCACAAAGCCAAUAUUGACGCUGAGGCACGAAAGUGUGGGGAUCAAACAGGAUUAGAUACCCUGGUAGUCC
rnacentral:rRNA from 1 species